GACAGAGGGUGCAAACGUUGUUCGGAAUUACUGGGCGUAAAGCGCGUGUAGGCUGCUCUGCAAGUCGGAUGUGAAAGCCCUGGGCUCAACCUAGGAAGUGCACUCGAAACUGCAGAGCUGGAGUCCUGGAGAGGAAGGCGGAAUUCUCGGUGUAGAGGUGAAAUUCGUAGAUAUCGAGAGGAACACCUGUGGCGAAGGCGGCCCUCUGGACAGUGACUGACGCUGAGACGCGAAAGCGUGGGGAGCAAACAGG
rnacentral:rRNA from 1 species